rnacentral:rRNA from 1 species
UAGGGAAUCUUCCGCAAUGGACGAAAGUCUGACGGAGCAACGCCGCGUGAGUGAUGAAGGUUCUCGGAUCGUAAAGCUCUGUUGCCAGGGAAGAACAACGAGGAGAGUAACUGCGCUUCGUGUGACGGUACCUGAGAAGAAAGCCCCGGCUAACUACGUGCCAGCAGCCGCGGUAAUACGUAGGGGGCAAGCGUUGUCCGGAAUUAUUGGGCGUAAAGCGCGCGCAGGCGGCCUUGUAAGUCUAGUGUUUAAUCUCGGAGCUCAACUCCGAUUCGCACUGAAAACUGCAAAGCUUGAGUACAGAAGAGGAAAGUGGAAUUCCACGUGUAGCGGUGAAAUGCGUAGAGAUGUGGAGGAACACCAGUGGCGAAGGCGACUUUCUGGGCUGUAACUGACGCUGAGGCGCGAAAGCGUGGGGAGCAAACAGGAUUAGAUACCCCUGUAGUCC